UAAUACGGGGGGGGCUAGCGUUGUUCGGAAUUAUUGGGCGUAAAGGGCGCGUAGGCGGCCUGGUAAGUCGGACGUGAAAUCCCACGGCUCAACCGUGGAACUGCGUUCGAAACUGCCGGGCUUGAGUCCCGGAGAGGGUAGCGGAAUUCCCAGUGUAGCGGUGAAAUGCGUAGAUAUUGGGAGGAACACCAGUGGCGAAGGCGGUUACCUGGACGGGUACUGACGCUGAGGCGCGAAAGCGUGGGGAGCAAACAGGAUUAGAUACCCUGGUAGUCCACGCUGUAAACGAUGGGCACUUGGUGUUGCGGGUAUCGACCCCUGCAGUGCCGAAGCUAACGCAUUAAGUGCCCCGCCUGGGAAGUACGGUCGCAAGGCUG
rnacentral:rRNA from 1 species